CUGGUCUGAGAGGAUGAUCAGCCACACUGGAACUGAGACACGGUCCAGACUCCUACGGGAGGCAGCAGUGGGGAAUAUUGCACAAUGGGCGCAAGCCUGAUGCAGCCAUGCCGCGUGUAUGAAGAAGGCCUUCGGGUUGUAAAGUACUUUCAGUCGUGAGGAAGGCGGUGUCGUUAAUAGCGGCAUCGUUUGACGUUAGCGACAGAAGAAGCACCGGCUAACUCCGUGCCAGCAGCCGCGGUAAUACGGAGGGUGCGAGCGUUAAUCGGAAUUACUGGGCGUAAAGCGCAUGCAGGUGGUUUGUUAAGUCAGAUGUGAAAGCCCGGGGCUCAACCUCGGAAUAGCAUUUGAAACUGGCAGACUAGAGUACUGUAGAGGGGGGUAGAAUUUCAGGUGUAGCGGUGAAAUGCGUAGAGAUCUGAAGGAAUACCGGUGGCGAAGGCGGCCCCCUGGACAGAUACUGACACUCAGAUGCGAAAG
rnacentral:rRNA from 1 species